rnacentral:lncRNA from 1 species
CCUUCUAAUUGAAGUUUAUCAUCAUAUGAGAAACUUCCUAGCACCUAUUGUCUAUUAUUAGGGAUUGAUAUAAUCCGAUUAUAUCAUGAAAUAUAUCAUUAUAGAUUUCCAUCCCAUGUAUAUAGACUAUAUCUCCCAUAUACAUUCUAUCUUCAUAUAAUGUUUUAAAGUCAUAACUUUAACGAAGAAGAAUUCUUUUCAUUUCCAAAAUUAAUAUAUCAUAUAUAUUAAAUUUUAGGAACAUGAUUAACUCCCAUAUACAUUCUAUCGUUAUAGAAUGUUUACAGUCAUAACUUUAACGAAGAAGUAUUCUUUUCAUUUCCAAAAUUAAUAUAUCAUAUAUAUUUAAAUUUUA